UGUAAAAUGCCUUCCAUCUGUAGUUCAUUAGCACUGCAGCUGAGGUUUACCUUUCCUAACUGUUUGUCUUUUAAAAGAAAUGCUACUAAGAUCUUUUUCAGCAAGAAAGUAGUAACUCUAUCUACGGAUCGACCAUUCUAAUCUACUUUCCAGGAAUUUUCUAGCUUCGAAAAACCAUUGCCUCCGUCCUUUAUAAAAUCCAGCUCCACGGGCCGGCUUAAAGUGUUGAGUGCAGCAACACCCACAGCAACUUCCUCGUUACUUCAUCAGACCGACGCGCAGCAGAGAUUGAAUAUCACCACUCGAGAUAAAAGCAAUUUGUUAUGGGAAACGCCAUAUCAGAACCAGCAGCAGUUUGGAUUAGACAGUUUGUCUUCUUUUCAGAAGCAAAUUAACGAAGAAAAGCUUUGCAACCAAAGACACUGCAAUUAUAGAUACUGACAAGCAUCGGCUAUAUGUAUCUUCAAAUGGGUAAUCUUAUGUUGUUUCCGUUGACUUACAUUUGAA